UACGUAGGCAGCGAGCGUUGUUCGGAGUUACUGGGCGUAAAGGGUGUGUAGGCGGUUCUCUAAGUUUGGUGUGAAAUCUCCCGGCUCAACCGGGAGGGUGCGCCGAAAACUGGGGGACUCGAGUGCGGGAUGGGAGAGUAGAAUUCCUGGUGUAGCGGUGAAAUGCGUAGAUAUCGGGAGGAACACCUGCGGUGUAGACAGCUUUCUGGACCAUUGCUGACGCUGAGACACGAAAGCGUGGGUAGCAAACAGG
rnacentral:rRNA from 1 species